rnacentral:sRNA from 1 species
AUCCAGUUCAGGCCGAUCAGGGCUGGUGGAAACAACUACCAAGUGUCUCUCUGUCUGCUUUGCUUUGGGAGAAGAAAGUGGAGGGAGCCCCAGCAUGUUGUAGAGGAACUGGCCUGCGGAAACGAGAGGAGGAGGGUGCAGGGGGCAGCGGAACAGACUGAACCUCAGAGCAUCAGUUGGAAUUACGAUCUGAGGCUGUCAGAGAUGACUCUGGUUCUGUCCAUGAAUAGAUUCUGCGAGCCCAUUGUCUCGGAAGGAGCUGCUGAAAUUGCUGGGUACCAAACACUAUGGGAGGCUGACAGCUACGGAGGCCCAAGCCCCCCAGGGCCAGCACAAGCUCCUUUGCAGGGAGACCGGGGAGCUGGUCCCCCACUGGCAGGAUCACAUUACAGGGGAAUUUCAAAUCCUAUAACAACAUCCAAGAUCACAUACUUUAAGAGGAAGUAUGUGGAAGAAGAGGAUUUUCACCCACCACUCAGCAGCUGUAGCCAUAAAACCAUCUCAAUUUUUGAGGAACGAGCCCACAUCCUUUAUAUGUCCUUAGAAAAGCUAAAGUUUAUCGAUGAUCCUGAAGUGUACCUCCGAAGAUCUGUCCUUAUAAACAAUUUGAUGAAAAGGAUCCAUGGAGAAAUUAUCAUGCAGAAUAACUGGUGCUUCCCUGCCUGCUCUUUCAAUGGCACCUCUGCCCAAGAGUGGUUUAUGGCUCAAGACUGCCCUUACCGAAAACGACCACGGAUGGCCAAAGAGGAAUGUGAAAAGUUUCAUGCCUGCUGCUUUUACCAAGAAUGUGGUGGCCACUACCUAAAUUUACCCCUUUCUGUCAAUGCUAAUGUUGGAAGUGCCUCCACUGCUGCCUCCUCUCCCUCCGCCUCUUCUUCCUCCUCAUCUUCCUCUUCCUCUCCCCCUUUGCCUUUACCGAGUUGUUCCCACCAGGUGGAUUUUGAUGUAGGUAGUGCAUCUAUUUACAAGAGUGAUGGCCAGAUACCUGCCAAUGAAAUCUUUGUCACUAAUGUCAGAUCACUUGGUGUUCAGGAAAAGGCCAAAUUAAAUGAUGAGAAAGCAAAUAAUGACACCAACAGAGAUGGUGGCCCCCUCAGUCACGA